AAAAAGAACCUGAAACCGUGUACGUACAAGCAGUGGGAGCACAGGUUUACCUGUGUGACUGCGUACCUUUUGUAUAAUGGGUCAGCGACUUAUAUUCUGUAGCAAGGUUAACCGUAUAGGGGAGCCGGAGGGAAACCGAGUCUUAAUUGGGCGUUAAGUUGCAGGGUAUAGACCCGAAACCCGGUGAUCUAGCCAUGGGCAGGUUGAAGGUUGGGUAACACUAACUGGAGGACCGAACCGACUAAUGUUGAAAAAUUAGCGGAUGACCUGUGGCUGGGGGUGAAAGGCCAAUCAAACCGGGAGAUAGCUGGUUCUCCCCGAAAGCUAUUUAGGUAGCGCCUCGUGAAUUCAUCUCCGGGGGUAGAGCACUGUUUCGGCUAGGGGGCCAUCCCGGCUUACCAACCCGAUGCAAACUGCGAAUACCGGAGAAUGUUAUCACGGGAGACACACGGCGGGUGCUAACGUCCGUCGUGAAGAGGGAAACAACCCAGACCGCCAGCUAAGGUCCCAAAGUCAUGGUUAAGUGGGAAACGAUGUGGGAAGGCCCAGACAGCCAGGAUGUUGGCUUAGAAGCAGCCAUCAUUUAAAGAAAGCGUAAUAGCUCACUGGUCGAGUCGGCCUGCGCGGAAGAUGUAACGGGGCUAAACCAUGCACCGAAGCUGCGGCAGCGACGCUUAUGCGUUGUUGGGUAGGGGAGCGUUCUGUAAGCCUGUGAAGGUGGCCUGUGAGGGUUGCUGGAGGUAUCAGAAGUGCGAAUGCUGACAUAAGUAACGAUAAAGCGGGUGAAAAGCCCGCUCGCCGGAAGACCAAGGGUUCCUGUCCAACGUUAAUCGGGGCAGGGUGAGUCGACCCCUAAGGCGAGGCCGAAAGGCGUAGUCGAUGGGAAACAGGUUAAUAUUCCUGUACUUGGUGUUACUGCGAAGGGGGGACGGAGAAGGCUAUGUUGGCCGGGCGACGGUUGUCCCGGUUUAAGCGUGUAGGUGUGUGUUCCAGGUAAAUCCGGUUCACUUUAACACUGAGGCGUGAUGACGAGGCACUACGGUGCUGAAGCAACAAAUGCCCUGCUUCCAGGAAAAGCCUCUAAGCAUCAGGUAACAUCAAAUCGUACCCCAAACCGACACAGGUGGUCAGGUAGAGAAUACCAAGGCGCUUGAGAGAACUCGGGUGAAGGAACUAGGCAAAAUGGUGCCGUAACUUCGGGAGAAGGCACGCUGACACGUAGGUGAAGUGAUUUACUCAUGGAGCUGAAGUCAGUCGAAGAUACCAGCUGGCUGCAACUGUUUAUUAAAAACACAGCACUGUGCAAACACGAAAGUGGACGUAUACGGUGUGACGCCUGCCCGGUGCCGGAAGGUUAAUUGAUGGGGUCAGCGCAAGCGAAGCUCCUGAUCGAAGCCCCGGUAAACGGCGGCCGUAACUAUAACGGUCCUAAGGUAGCGAAAUUCCUUGUCGGGUAAGUUCCGACCUGCACGAAUGGCGUAAUGAUGGCCAGGCUGUCUCCACCCGAGACUCAGUGAAAUUGAACUCGCUGUGAAGAUGCAGUGUACCCGCGGCAAGACGGAAAGACCCCGUGAACCUUUACUAUAGCUUGACACUGAACAUUGAGCCUUGAUGUGUAGGAUAGGUGGGAGGCUUUGAAGCGUGGACGCCAGUCUGCGUGGAGCCGACCUUGAAAUACCACCCUUUAAUGUUUGAUGUUCUAACGUGGACCCGUAAUCCGGGUUGCGGACAGUGUCUGGUGGGUAGUUUGACUGGGGCGGUCUCCUCCUAAAGAGUAACGGAGGAGCACGAAGGUUGGCUAAUCCUGGUCGGACAUCAGGAGGUUAGUGCAAUGGCAUAAGCCAGCUUGACUGCGAGCGUGACGGCGCGAGCAGGUGCGAAAGCAGGUCAUAGUGAUCCGGUGGUUCUGAAUGGAAGGGCCAUCGCUCAACGGAUAAAAGGUACUCCGGGGAUAACAGGCUGAUACCGCCCAAGAGUUCAUAUCGACGGCGGUGUUUGGCACCUCGAUGUCGGCUCAUCACAUCCUGGGGCUGAAGUAGGUCCCAAGGGUAUGGCUGUUCGCCAUUUAAAGUGGUACGCGAGCUGGGUUUAGAACGUCGUGAGACAGUUCGGUCCCUAUCUGCCGUGGGCGCUGGAGAACUGAGGGGGGCUGCUCCUAGUACGAGAGGACCGGAGUGGACGCAUCACUGGUGUUCGGGUUGUCAUGCCAAUGGCACUGCCCGGUAGCUAAAUGCGGAAGAGAUAAGUGCUGAAAGCAUCUAAGCACGAAACUUGCCCCGAGAUGAGUUCUCCCUGAGACUUAGAGUCUCCUGAAGGAACGUUGAAGACGACGACGUUGAUAGGCCGGGUGUGUAAGCGCAGCGAUGCGUUGAGCUAACCGGUACUAAUGAACCGUGAGGCUUAACCUUACAACGCCGAAG
rnacentral:rRNA from 1 species